AAACUUAGGAUAAACCUUUCACUUAUAAGUAGACUUCUAGUAAAGAUUUAAGGUAGAGACCGAUAGCAACCACGUGAUCAGUAAAAAUCGUGUAUUUUCACGUGAAAUUAUUUUUCGGAAUUCCGUACAUCGCCAUAGAGUAGUUGAAAAACAAAAAGGGGUUCCGAAAGUACAAGUUGCUGUGACUGAAUCGAUGAUUGAGAGGGUCGUCUCGACGAAAGAUAUAGAAAUUUGGCCAUAGUUUAGAUUAGGAAUACGUCAAUGUAAUAAUAGUGGACUAAAUGUUUCGUCCGUGCAGAAUGGCACUUUUUACCUCACGAAAUUCACCACCAUGCAUAGCUGCGCUACGUAAACAAAGUUGUUGAUGUAGCGUGAUCGUGGUGUCCGAGUGCUGCGAGUUUCAAUACUGUUUAUGUAGUCAUUGAGAGUUUAAACAAAGUUUCUUCUGAGAAGAGGAAUUCGAUGGAUGCAUUCAACGUGGACAACGAAAUCAUAAUUUCGUUUGCAUCAUCCUAAGGACAAGUGCAAGUUGAAAUGGGCUUCCAGCCAACAACUUCAACAGCAAUUUGCCAUGAAAAUCAGCAAGAAAGGUACUUCAUUUACAUUGAUGAUGUCAUAUCCCCUGGACCCCACAACUUCACAGGUUACAGAGAAAAUUCAAGAACUUCUGCAAAAUGUGGGACUUGGAUAGAAUCAAUAAUGUAUUUGUGAGCCCAGAGCAAUGGAUAUAUUGUGCAACAUACUAAAGUGUGAAUUUAAUGGAAAACAAGUACAUGUACUCAUGUAUUACAUGUCUUUUUUAAAGACAAUAAUAUUGUAUAAAUAUAGAGGAAGUGUCAUUGUUGAUUAUUCUAAGUUUUUGAUAUAUCAAAAUCAGUAAACAUUUCUAAAUGAAAAUAAAAUACCAAUUUUAUAACUUUAA